GACGAACGCUGGCGGCGUGCUUAACACAUGCAAGUCGAACGGAAAGGCCCUGCUUUUGUGGGGUGCUCGAGUGGCGAACGGGUGAGUAACACGUGAGUAACCUGCCCUUGACUUUGGGAUAACUUCAGGAAACUGGGGCUAAUACCGGAUAGGAGCUCCUGCUGCAUGGUGGGGGUUGGAAAGUUUCGGCGGUUGGGGAUGGACUCGCGGCUUAUCAGCUUGUUGGUGGGGUAGUGGCUUACCAAGGCUUUGACGGGUAGCCGGCCUGAGAGGGUGACCGGCCACAUUGGGACUGAGAUACGGACCAGACGCGUACGGGAGGCAGCAGUGGGGAAUAUUGCACAAUGGGCGGAAGCCUGAUGCAGCAACGCCGCGUGCGGGAAGACGGCCUUCGGGUGGUAAACCGCUGUCGCAGGUGACGAAGCGUGAGUGACGGUAAUGGGUAAAGAAGCACCGGCUAACUACGUG
rnacentral:rRNA from 1 species